rnacentral:rRNA from 1 species
CCUACGGGAGGCAGCAGUGAGGAAUAUUGGUCAAUGGACGAGAGUCUGAACCAGCCAAGUAGCGUGAAGGAUGACUGCCCUAUGGGUUGUAAACUUCUUUUAUAAGGGAAUAAAAUGAGGCACGUGUGCCUUUUUGUAUGUACUUUAUGAAUAAGGAUCGGCUAACUCCGUGCCAGCAGCCGCGGUAAUACGGAGGAUCCGAGCGUUAUCCGGAUUUAUUGGGUUUAAAGGGAGCGUAGUUGGGUUGUUAAGUCAGUUGUGAAAGUUUGCGGCUCAACCGUAAAAUUGCAAUUGAAACUGGCAGUCUUGAGUACAGUAGAGGUAGGCGGAAUUCGUGGUGUAGCGGUGAAAUGCUUAGAUAUCACGAAGAACCCCGAUUGCGAAGGCAGCUUACUGAACUGUAACUGACAUUGAGGCUCGAAAGUGUGGGUAUCAAACAGGAUUAGAUACCCGAGUAGUC